UACGUAGGGACCAAGCGUUGUUCGGACUUACUGGGCGUAAAGGGCGCGUAGGCGGCGUGGUAAGUCACUUGUGAAAUCUCUGAGCUUAACUCAGAACGGCCAAGUGAUACUGCUGUGCUAGAGUGCAGAAGGGGCAAUCGGAAUUCUUGGUGUAGCGGUGAAAUGCGUAGAUAUCAAGAGGAACACCUGAGGUGAAGACGGGUUGCUGGGCUGACACUGACGCUGAGGCGCGAAAGCCAGGGGAGCAAACGGG
rnacentral:rRNA from 1 species